GGCCUAUUGAAUAUAAUUUUAGGUCGAUCUGCCCAAUGAUUUAAAAUUUAAUGGCUGCGGUAUUUUGACUGUACAAAGGUAGCAUAAUCAAUUGUUUUUUAAUUGGAAACUGGAAUGAAAGAAUUAAUGAGAUAUAUACUGUCUCAUAUAUAAUAAAUGAAUUUAAAUUUUUAGUUAAAAUGCUUAAAUUAUUUUAUGGGACGAUAAGACCCUAUAGAAUUUUAUAUUAAUAUAAAUAGUUAUGUUUAUAAAAUUUUUAUAUUAAUAUUUAGUUGGGAGGAUUAGUAAAUUUAAGAAACUUUACUUUAAAUUUAAACUUUGAUUUAAGAAUUUUUUUGAUCUUGUAUUAUAAAAAUAAGAGUAAAUUACCUUAGGGAUAACAGCGUAAUAUCUUUUUAAAGGUCAUAUUAAUAAAGAUGAUUGCGACCUCGAUGUUGAAUUAAGAUAAAUUUUAGAUGGAGAAGUCUAAAAAUUAAGUCUGUUCGACUUUUAGAAUCUUACAUGAUUUGAGUUCAAAU
rnacentral:rRNA from 1 species